GCCCCAGAACCCGAUCAGGAAGACGCUCCGGCCGAUCGGCCCGAUCUCCGAUCCGAUCCGGUCGGCCAGGAGCAGACACAGGCGCGGACCCUCAUCCAGAAUCUGUCCGCUCCAGUCGAUCUGCGUGGCCAGGAAGAUCAUCGAGAAGCAGAAGACGAAGACGAGCGUGAACGACACGGUCAGAUCCGACCGCGCGCUCGGGAUGCGCCCCGUGCCCGACCAUCCGGCCUCGC
rnacentral:misc_RNA from 1 species